rnacentral:rRNA from 1 species
GAUGAACGCUGGCGGCGUGCCUAAUACAUGCAAGUCGAGCGAACGGACGAGAAGCUUGCUUUUCUGAUGUUAGCGGCGGACGGGUGAGUAACACGUGGAUAACCUACCUAUAAGACUGGGAUAACUUCGGGAAACCGGAGCUAAUACCGGAUAAUAUUUUGAACCGCAUGGUUCAAAAGUGAAAGACGGUCUUGCUGUCACUUAUAGCUGGAUCCGCGCUGCAUUAGCUAGUUGGUAAGGUAACGGCUUACCAAGGCAACGAUGCAUAGCCGACCUGAGAGGGUGAUCGGCCACACUGGAACUGAGACACGGUCCAGACUCCUACGGGAGGCAGCAGUAGGGAAUCUUACGCAAUGGGCGAAAGCCUGACGGAGCAACGCCGCGUGAGUGAUGAAGGUCUUCGGAUCGUAAAACUCUGUUAUUAGGGAAGAACAUAUGUGUAAGUAACUGUGCACAUCUUGACGGUACCUAAUCAGAAAGCCACGGCUAACUACGUG